CGAGUGGCGAACUGGUGAGUAACACGUGGGUAACCUGCCCCGAAGCGGGGGAUAACAUUUGGAAACAAGUGCUAAUACCGCAUAAUUAGUUGGAACCGCAUGGUUCCAACUUGAAAGAUGGCUCUGCUAUCACUUUGGGAUGGACCCGCGCCGUAUUAGUUAGUUGGUGAGAUAAAAGCCCACCAAGACGAUGAUACGUAGCCGACCUGAGAGGGUAAUCGGCCACAUUGGGACUGANACACGGCCCAGACUCCUACGGGAGGCAGCAGUAGGGAAUCUUCCACAAUGGACGAAAGUCUGAUGGAGCAACGCCGCGUGAGUGAUGAAGGUUUUCGGAUCGUAAAACUCUGUUGUUAAAGAAGAACAAGUGUUAGAGUAACUGUUAACACUUUGACGGUAUUUAACCAGAAAGCCACGGCUAACUACGUGCCAGCAGCCGCGGUAAUACGUAGGUGGCAAGCGUUGUCCGGAUUUAUUGGGCGUAAAGCGAGCGCAGGCGGUUUUGUAAGUCUGCUGUGAAAGCCCUCAGCUCAACUGAGGAAGUGCAGUGGAAACUACAAAACUUGAGUACAGAAGAGGAAAGUGGAACUCCAUGUGUAGCGGUGAAAUGCGUAGAUAUAUGGAAGAACACCAGUGGCGAAGGCGGCUUUCUGGUCUGUUACUGACGCUGAGGCUCGAAAGCAUGGGUAGCGAACAGGAUUAGAUACCCUGGUAGUCCAUGCCGUAAACGAUGAAUACUAGGUGUUGGAGGGUUUCCGCCCUUCAGUGCCGCAGCUAACGCAUUAAGUAUUCCGCCUGGGGAGUACGACCGCAAGGUUGAAACUCAAAGGAAUUGACGGGGGCCCGCACAAGUGGUGGAGCAUGUGGUUUAAUUCGAUGCUACGCGAAGAACCUUACCAGCUCUUGACAUCUUCUGCCAACCCAAGAGAUUGGGCGUUCCCUUCGGGGACAGAAUGACAGGUGGUGCAUGGUUGUCGUCAGCUCGUGUCGUGAGAUGUUGGGUUAAGUCCCGCAACGAGCGCAACCCUUAUUAUUAGUUGCCAGCAUUUAGUUGGGCACUCUAGUGAGACUGCCGGUGAUAAACCGGAGGAAGGUGGGGACGACGUCAAAUCAUCAUGCCCCUUAUGAGCUGGGCUACACACGUGCUACAAUGGAUGGUACAACGAGUCGCGAAACCGCGAGGUCAAGCUAAUCUCUUAAAGCCAUUCUCAGUUCGGAUUGCAGGCUGCAACUCGCCUGCAUGAAGUUGGAAUCACUAGUAAUCGUGGAUCAGCAUGCCACGGUGAAUACGUUCCCGGGCCUUGUACACACCGCCCGUC
rnacentral:rRNA from 2 species